GAUGAAGAACGCAGCGAAAUGCGAUACGUAAUGUGAAUUGCAGAAUUCAGUGAAUCAUCGAAUCUUUGAACGCAUAUUGCGCUCUCUGGUAUUCCGGAGAGCAUGCUUGUUUGAGUAUCAGUAAACACCUCAACUUCCAUAUCUUUUUUGAAAUGGGAGUUGGACUUGAGUGAUCCCAACGCUUUUCCUCACCGAAAAGUGGCGGGUUACUUGAAAUGCAGGUGCAGCUGGACUUUUCUCUGAGCUAUAAGCAUAUCUAUUUAGUCUGCCUAAAAAACAGAUUAUUACCUUUGCUGCAGCUAACAUAAAGGUGAUUAGUUCUUGUGCUGACUGAUGCAGGAUUCACAAAGACAGGCUUCGGCCGACUUUGUAAACUCGAUCUCAAAUCAAGUAAGACUACCCGCUGAACUUAAGCAUAUCAAUAAGCGGAGGA
rnacentral:misc_RNA from 1 species